UACGUAGGGUGCAAGCGUUUGUCCGGAAUUAUUGGGCGUAAAGAGCUCGUAGGCGGUCUGUCGCGUCUGCUGUGAAAACUCAGGGCUUAACCCUGAGCUUGCAGUGGGUACGGGCAGACUAGAGUGCGGUAGGGGAGACUGGAAUUCCUGGUGUAGCGGUGAAAUGCGCAGAGUAUCAGGAGGAACACCGGUGGCGAAGGCGGGUCUCUGGACAGUUCC
rnacentral:rRNA from 1 species